GACGAACGCUGGCGGCGUGCUUAACACAUGCAACUCGUACGGUAAGGCCCUUUCGGGGGUACACGAGUGGCGAACGGGUGAGUAACACGUGAGUAACCUGCCCACAACUUUGGGAUAACGCUAGGAAACUGGUGCUAAUACUGGAUAUGUGCUCCUGCUGCAUGGUGGGGGUUGGAAAGCUCCGGCGGUUGUGGAUGGACUCGCGGCCUAUCAGCUUGUUGGUGGGGUAGUGGCCUACCAAGGCGGCGACGGGUAGCCGGCCUGAGAGGGUGACCGGCCACAUUGGGACUGAGAUACGGCCCAGACUCCUACGGGAGGCAGCAGUGGGGAAUAUUGCACAAUGGGCGCAAGCCUGAUGCAGCAACGCCGCGUGCGGGAUGACGGCCUUCGGGUUGUAAACCGCUUUCAGCAGGGACGAAGCUUUUUGUGACGGUACCUGCAGAAGAAGCACCGGCUAACUACGUG
rnacentral:rRNA from 1 species